AGCAGUAGCCACGGUAAUACAGAGGGUGCAAGCGUUAAUCGGAUUUACUGGGCGUAAAGCGUGCGUAGGUGGCUGUUUAAGUCGGAUGUGAAAGCCCUGGGCUUAACCUGGGAACUGCAUUCGAUACUGGAUAGCUAGAGAUCGGUAGAGGGCAGCGGAAUUCCGGGUGUAGCGGUGAAAUGCGUAGAUAUCCGGAGGAACACCGAUGGCGAAGGCAACUGCCUGGGCCUGAUCUGACACUGAGGCACGAAAGCGUGGGUAGCAAACAGGAUUAGAUACCCCCGUAGUCCCUGUCUCUUAUAC
rnacentral:rRNA from 1 species